rfam:Parascardovia denticolens DSM 10105 chromosome, whole genome shotgun sequence.
AAAAAUAAACCUCUCACAACGGAUCGUUGGGCACGUACCGCCCAUGAAAGGAUAGUUAU